rnacentral:rRNA from 1 species
UACGUAGGGUCCGAGCGUUGUCCGGAAUUAUUGGGCGUAAAGAGCUCGUAGGCGGUCUGUCGCGUCGGCUGUGAAAACACGGGGCCCAACUCCGUGCCUGCAGUCGAUACGGGCAGACUAGAGUUCGGUAGGGGAGACUGGAAUUCCUGGUGUAGCGGUGAAAUGCGCAGAUAUCAGGAGGAACACCGGUGGCGAAGGCGGGUCUCUGGGCCGAAACUGACGCUGAGGAGCGAAAGCGUGGGGAGCGAACAGG